rnacentral:rRNA from 1 species
AUUGAACGCUGGCGGCAGGCCUAACACAUGCAAGUCGAGCGGAGCGGCGGUCGGGGGAGUAAUGGCUAGGAAUCUGCAUGGUACUGGGGGAUAACGUUCGGUAACGGGCGCUAAUACCGCUUACUAUCAGCUGAGCCUAGGUCGGAUUAGCUAGUGGGUGGGGUAAAGGCCUACCAGGGCGACGAUCCGUAACUGGUCUGAGAGUAUGAUCAGUCACCCGGGAACUGAGACACGGUCCAGACUCCUACGGGAGGCAGCAGUGGGGAAUAUUGGAAAAUGGGCGAAAGCCUGAUCCAGCCAUGCCGCGUGUGUGAAGAAGGUCUUCGGAUUGUAAAGCACUUUAAGUUGGGAGGCGUUACCAACAGAAUAAGCACCGGCUAACUUCGUGCCAGCAGCCGCGGUAAUUC